UUUUUGAGUUUUUUUUUUUUUUUUUCCAGUUGUGUGUGUUAUGUGGUGGAAGGAUGUUGUCCACUCUUCCCGGGCUCUGAGCUUUAAGUCCAGGAGAGAAAACAGUGCGACAGGAGUAAGCGUGAGGGGAAGUGACCAGGUGAUAGCAGGUGAUGAUUGUCCCUUUCUCUUCCCUGACAGGUGAGUGGCAGGUGGACGGCGCCCUCGCUCUCCGUGUUCCUUCUGCAGAACCCAACGCAUCAACGGUCCACUCCAACCUAUUAACAACCCGUCACCGCCUCGCCACAACCCAGCCGCCCACACCUUUCACACUGUCCCUUCCUCCAAUACUCCCGCUCCCCCAGCCACAGACGCCCCUCCGCUGGCCGCCGACACCACACACCGAGGCGGACUGAAAUGAGUGAUUGAAUGUGCUGCGGUGAAGAAUGAGUGUGGAGCGCGUGUGGGUGAUUGAGGGAAGAAGGUGGUGGUGAUGGAGGAGGAGAAGAGAAAAAGAGCGACAAGGGAAAGGCGGAAGGGAACGGAGGAAGACGAAGAGAGGAAGAGAAGAAAAACAGCGGCUAGGUAAAGGAGGAGGAGGAGGUGAAAGAGGGAAAAAAGAGAAGAGAAGAGAAAUAGCGACAAGGAAAAGGAGGAGGGGGAAGAUGAUGAUAAGGACGGGAAAUGAAAAAAAAAAAACAGCUACGAGGGGAAAAAGGAAAAGAAGGAAGUAUUGGAAAGAACGUAAAUAUGAAGAGAGGGAAAAGACAAUAAGAGAGAAAAACAUAUUUGUAGUUUCCAGCGUAUGUAAAUAACGAGAGAGAGAGAGAGAGAGAGAGAGAGAGAGAGAGAGAGAGAGAGAGAGAGAGAGAGAGAGAGAGAGAGAGAGAGAGUCAAUUAUUCCUUUCAUUCAUCUCUGUAACGCUCUCCACUUUGAAGGGAGGAAAAAAAUGACUCCUCUUCCUCCUCCUCCUCCUCCUCCUCCUCCUCCUCCUCUUCCAGCCUCACCAUUAAUCCUGCCACCUCCCUGCCAUCCUCCUACCGCCACCCUGCCAUCCUCCAGCCGCCACCCUGCCACACUGCCGCCGCUGAUACAGGUUAGGCUGGCUGCUGACGGAGAGAAAAGCACUUAAAAAUGUAUUGUUUCUUUGCAUAUAGCUGACUGCGGCGGCCGUCCUUUCAUUAGGCAGGCAACAGCGUCACGCUUGUCCGUUUUCUUUAUUUUGUAAAAGUGUUGCAGUCCCCCCCUCCUCUCUGUCUGUCAGGAGCGUACUCUGAAACACAUCUGUGCUAUACUUUCGCUAUUUUCAAAGGGAUCUGUAGUUGAAGUUACACGGGUUUUUGAAGGGCACUUUUACGUUUCGAGUGGUAGAUUGAUAGGAUUUCUACAUCAUUAACUAGUUUGAAAAGAUUCUGUAGUUGAAGUUACACGGGUUUUUAAGGAUGGUUUUACAGUUUUAGUGCCAGAGUGAUAGAAUUUCUACAUCGUUAAUUAAUUACAAAAGGCUGCAUAAUUAAAGUUACACGGGAUUUUCAGAGUUGCUUUUGCAGUUCCGGUGACAGAUUGUACAGACUUCUACAUUAUCUACAGGAGAGGCACUCUUGAGAACCUGAAUAAUCAUGUCUAUGGCCUUUGGAAUUGGUCGUGGUGAGAGUGCAGGGCCUUUCAGAAUACGGGCGUCAGUCAGACUCGUGUGUGUGUGUGUGUGUGUGUGUGUGUGUGUGUGUGUGUGUGUGUCUGUGUGUGUCCGUGUGUGUGAUGUUCCAAAGUAAGUUUCCAUAAGCGCACAAGGUCGCCUCAGUCCCACGUGCAUGUUGAUGCCGAUGGGCGGUGACGACUGACUGCAGGAUGAGAGGCGAGGCGAGGAAGGCGAGGAAGGCGAGGCAAGGCGAGGCAGAGUGGGAAGCGGAGUCCCAGGGCAUAUUUGGUGUCCCGAAGUUUUAAUGGGUGGGUGACAGCGAGCAUGAACCACCGCCACCUCCGCCAUUAUCACCGCCACCACCACCACCACCGCUACCCCCACCACCACCACCACCACCACCAUCGCUGCCACCACCACAGCUGCCCUAGUCACCGUCACCACCAGGACCUACUUCCACCAAAGCACCACCAUCAACACUUCCAGCUUUAUUAAACCAGCACCUCCAUCAGUAAAAGCAUCAUGUGUGUGUGUGUGUGUGUGUGUGUGUGUGUGUGUGUGUGUGUGUGUGUGUGUCUGUGUGUUAUUUUCUUCUUACUAUACGUAAAUGGAAGUAGUUAUGUUUUAAAAAGGGACUUCUACUUGUAAGCUAGAUGGCUUUUUUGCCGCUUUAUCUUUUUUUCUUAUGUUCUUAUGUACUUACUCGAUAGAAUGUAAAAAAUUACCUCAUAGUCCCUUUUCUUCAGUCAUCAAAACAAUCAACCUUCCAUAAAUUCAUCUACAUAUUUGAUUCAUUCAUUUUAUCUAUUAUUUAUCUGUCUAAAGAAGGACGUGACCUACAAUCUCUGCAAUAGUUCACAUUCAAAUUCAAGUUUAUUUCCUCCUUGGCAAUAAGAGUGUGGAUCUGGGAAGCACACACUAACGGGAGGCGUGUCGGGCUGCGGGAUGAGCGCCAUGGAUCGUGCUCAAGGGCGGCGGCUUGCGGUAAUUUGGGCCAUAAAGCGAUCAGGCCGAGAUGCUCCACCCGAUGUCGCCGCGCUAAUAAAGGUGCGGCGCCCUGCUACCCCCGCCCACACGCCCACACCCUGCCAUUCAUACCUUCAUCCGUACACGCGCCUACACGCUAUCUCACAAACCCACACCCUGCCACUCCCACAUACACCGUGCGAAUUUAACUAACAUCCUGCCACUGUUGACAUCACCCUGCCACUGUCACCUAUUUCUUGCCACCCUAAACCCUAUCACUGUUGGUAUCACCCUGCCACUGCCACCUAUAUCAUGCAACUCCCGCCCAUACUCUUCCACUCCCACUCCCACCCACUCCCAGCCGCCCCCAUACCCACAUGUUACCUGCAGCCACAUCCUACAUUUCCUGCUCAUAUCGUGCUACUUCCAUCCUUGUCCUGCCGCUCUCUUUGUCAUCUCUGUAACAAGUAUCCAAUCCCAAUUCCAUUCCCUAUCAUGCAAACUUGCAACUUCUCCCGGUUCACAGUUCUCCCCACGCCGCUUCACUGCUCCCACCCUUGCUCGUUCCCUGACAUGUCAUGCUUCUGCUGAGGUCUCUGGGAAGGAGUUCUGUAAAAUAGUAUAUGGCACAAACGGUAUCAAUUAGGAGGAAUUAAGGAAUGAGGCAAUAUGGAGACAAAUUUAAUGGAAAGGUGGUGUUAUGCUCUGUUAUGUUUUGACUUCUAUAAUUACCAAUGGUGCAACGAACGCCAUAGCGACGGGCGUGAAGUCAGCACAGGUGGAUGUGUCAGCCAAAAUGUCCACAUAUGUAUACAUUUCACAGAGGACAGACCAGACAUGACAUCCAGACAAGACAGUCGAACAUUCAGAUUGACAGAUUCCUUAGAUUGUAACGCCCAUUUCCUACAAAUGUAUCAGUUGCUGAAUUCACGGGCGUGGUUACAUGGACACGUCACGAACUGGGAAGUCAAAUGCAAUCCACAUAAAAACCCACGUCAGAGGGUAGGAGAGCAGAUGCACCUCAUACCCGGCGUCGCGAGGUUCUCUUAUUUACGGUGCAUAUCUGUGCAUAUCGUACACUCUGCGAUUACUGUGGAGAGUAUAUAAGGAAGAAAUUCCUUAUCAGUGUAACUUCCCUCACCAGCAAAAUACAAGAUCACCUUAGGAAAUUAGGAAUUAUAUUGGCUAACACGUGUGGCUUAAUCAGCCUUCUUUACACGUAUAGGAAAAGGAAAGAGGCUUGAGAGAUGCAGUGUUGCAAAGUAUAGACAUAAAUAUUAAGAAGUAGGAUAAUAAAGAUAUAAAUAACAAAAAAGUAAAAACAAAAAGACCAUCAAGUAGUGUAAUACAAAUACUGGAGUCAUUUAGGCAAGGACUGUUGAGCAGUGAGAGUAAGGGGAGGACAAAGAACGAAGCAGUAAGAAGAGAAUAUGUAAGAAGUUAGCGAGAAGUAUCGUAAUGAAUGCACAGUUAAGUGGAGUCCUUGAUGGAAGAAUGCAGAUGAGGUGAGAGAGAAAAAAAACACACAGAAAGGGAAAAGUCUUACGAGAGAGAGAGAGAGAGAGAGAGAGAGAGAGAGAGAGAGAGAGAGAGAGAGAGAGAGAGAGAGAGAGAGAGAGAGAGAGAGAGAGGUGAUUCUGAUUAGUCGCUGAUUGGCUAACAGAACAUAACUUUGCCUGAUAGUUCUCAGAAAUAUAAAUAGUGAGAGCAUCAACUCAAUUUCAUCUUAAAGAAUGACUCUUUAAAUGAAAGUUUUGAAAGUGUCCUCUAAAAUUAGCAGAUAGUUCCCCAGAUAAUCAUCUCGUGCACUGCACAUAUACAGGUGUCGGCAAGUCAUGGAGUCACGUAAUGAUUUUAUGACCAUAUUAUGAAACAUUUUUGUGCCGCAUCUCCACUACAUUCAGAAGGCUUUAGUUGAAGUGACACGGGAUUUCACGGCUGUUUUAUGGUUCUAGUGACAGAUUAUUAACGUAUCUACAUUAUUAACAGGAGGUACACUCUUGAAAACCCGGCUAAUCAUCUCUGUGACCUUUGAAAAUAGUCGUGGUGAGAGAGCAAUGCGUUUCUGAAUACGGGCCUUUAUGCGAGUGACACAUCAACUCCAUCACCAAGGUAAAUGUGCUUGCCGAGGCUGCUGCGGUAGUGCGGCCCCUGCUGGUGGUCCCUCAAGGGUCCAUUAGGACCACGCCUCGCACGCUUCAGUCGAUCCGUUUACUCCACCGGGCUCAGAGUUCGUCAUUAAUACCGACUGAUUUUGGCUUGUAUAGCAGCCCGUGGUGGUUCAUGUUGGGUGUCGUAUUGCAAGGUGCUUAUGGUCCAGACGUCACACGUGUAGUGGUCUGUGAAGUUAUUAUCCGAGGAGCAGCAUUCUGGACGUGACAGAUUAGUUAAUGUGUUAUGCAUGUAUGUAUGUCUAUAUAUGUACGUUUAUAUAUAUGUAUGUAUGUAUGUAUAUGUAGAUAGAUUAUGGAAUUUGACUUCUUUCACGCUGAAGAUCUUUUUCUUAUAGCAAUGAGUAAGUUUGGAAUGUAAACAGUAGUUUUUAUCAUGCUUCCCGGCAGGGGCACAUCACUAGCAGUCUGGCCCUGUUAUGUGUGUACGGGCAUAAUGGAUACUUCACCAUCGCCAGAUCACGUGCUGGACUGACGACUGUUACUUUCCUUUCGUUUGUAACAAUAAUGAAAUAUUCCUGCGUAUUGUUGUUUUGUUGGAUCUGGUAGACUUUUGAUUAGUGUGUCUGAGUAUCUGAACAACUUCGUCUUAAUCUUAGUUGAUGUUCAGGGUUGUUUUAAGAGGAAUGUGAAUGAAUCUAAAUUUCUGUAAAAGAUGUUGUGCUAAAUUUGUAUUUUAAUUGUUGAUUUCUUUUUUCUGAUUUCAGUGAAUGAAAUUAAUAGGAAGUCGUUGCUAUUGUUGUUGUUCUUGGUGGUGGUGGUGGUGGUGGUGGUGGUAGUGGUGGUGUAGUUCUCUACGCUUCCGGUGAGGAAAAAUUCAGUUAAGAAAUGUAAUUUUUUUGGUAUGAUUGUUGUUUUUAUAAUAGUAUAUUUUAGAAGCUCCAUUGGGACAAUAAUGUAAAAAUUUGUUGUUCGUAUUAUCGGUAAUGAAUGUAUUUAUUGGAGCUUUAUAAGGGAAAAUCAGUAGAAAAUAUGGUUUAAUUACGAUGUUAAUUAGAAAAAAAUGUCAAGGGAUUUUGAUGCUCUGCUGGGGAAGAAUUGAUAUGGAAAAAUAUGUCAUUUAUCGUAUUAUUUGAUUUGUUGACAAAGGACUUAUUAAGGAAAAAUAAUUGGAUAAA